rnacentral:rRNA from 1 species
UACGGGGGGGGUAAGCGUUGUUCGGAAUUACUGGGCGUAAAGGGCUCGUAGGCGGCCAACUAAGUCAUACGUGAAAUCCCUCAGCUUAACUGGGGAACUGCGUGUGAUACUGGAUGGCUUGGAUUUGGGAGAGGGAUGCGGAAUUCCAGGUGUAGCGGUGAAAUGCGCAGAUAUCAGGAGGAACACCAAUGGCGAAGGCAGCACUCUGGGACGUGACUGACGCUGAGACGCGAAAGCGUGGGGAGCAAACAGG